rnacentral:rRNA from 1 species
UGGGGGAUAUUGCACAAUGGGCGAAAGCCUGAUGCAGCGACGCCGCGUGGGGGAUGAAGGCUUUCGGGUUGUAAACCUCUUUCGCUAUCGAACAAGGCCCGCUUAGGGUGGGUUGAGGGUAGGUGAGAAGAAGCGCCGGCUAACUACGUGCCAGCAGCCGCGGUAAUACGUAGGGCGCGAGCGUUGUCCGGAAUUAUUGGGCGUAAAGGGCUUGUAGGCGGCUUGUUGCGCCUGCUGUGAAAACGCGGGGCUUAACUUCGCGCGUGCAGUGGGUACGGGCAGGCUUGAGUGUGGUAGGGGUGACUGGAAUUCCAGGUGUAGCGGUGGAAUGCGCAGAUAUCUGGAGGAACACCGAUGGCGAAGGCAGGUCACUGGGCCAUUACUGACGCUGAGGAGCGAAAGCAUGGGUAGCGAACAGG